GAUGAACGCUGGCGGCGUGCCUAAUACAUGCAAGUCGAGCGAACAGACGAGGAGCUUGCUCCUCUGACGUUAGCGGCGGACGGGUGAGAAACACGUGGAUAACCUACCUAUAAGACUGGGAUAACUUCGGGAAACCGGAGCUAAUACCGGAUAAUAUAUUGAACCGCAUGGUGCAAUAGUGAAAGACGGUUUUGCUGUCACUUAUAGAUGGAUCCGCGCCGCAUUAGCUAGUUGGUAAGGUAACGGCUUACCAAGGCGACGAUGCGUAGCCGAGCUGAGAGGGUGAUCGGCCACACUGGAACUGAGACACGGUCCAGACUCCUACGGGAGGCAGCAGUAGGGAAUCUUCCGCAAUGGGCGAAAGCCUGACGGAGCAACGCCGCGUGAGUGAUGAAGGUCUUCGGAUCGUAAAACUCUGUUAUUAGGGAAGAACAAAUGUGUAAGUAACUAUGCACGUCUUGACGGUACCUAAUCAGAAAGCCACGGCUAACUACGUG
rnacentral:rRNA from 1 species